AAAAGACUUAGUCCUAACCUUACCGUUAAUUUUUGCUAGAUAUAUACAUGCAAGUAUCCGCGCCCCAGUGUAAAUGCCCUUAAUCUCUUAUUAAGAAAAAAGGAGCGGGUAUCAGGCACACCUAAAAACUGUAGCCCAAGACGCCUUGCUCAGCCACACCCUCACGGGUAUUCAGCAGUAAUUAACAUUAAGCAAUAAGUGAAAACUUGACUUAGUUAUAGCAACACCAGGGUUGGUAAAUCUUGUGCCAGCCACCGCGGUCACACAAGAGACCCAAAUUAACCGUAUACGGCGUAAAGAGUGGUAUCAUGUUAUCUUAACAACUAAGACCAAAGUACAACUAAGCUGUCAUAAGCCCAAGAUGUACCUAAGACCCCCCUUAAAACGAUCUUAGCGUCCUUGAUUAAUUUAAUUCCACGAAAGCUAAGGCACAAACUGGGAUUAGAUACCCCACUAUGCUUAGCCCUAAAUCUUGAUGCUCUCCUGUACUAAAGCAUCCGCCUGAGAACUACGAGCACAAACGCUUAAAACUCUAAGGACUUGGCGGUGCCCUAAACCCACCUAGAGGAGCCUGUUCUAUAAUCGAUAACCCACGUUACACCCGACCGCCCCUUGCCAGAGCAGCCUACAUACCGCCGUCGCCAGCUCACCUCCUCUGAGAGCUCAACAGUGAGCACAAUAGCCCAAACCCGCUAAUAAGACAGGUCGAGGUAUAGCCCACGGGGCGGAAGAAAUGGGCUACAUUUUCUAAAAUAGAAAACUCACGGACGGGGGCAUGAAAUUGCCCCCCGAAGGCGGAUUUAGUAGUAAAGUGGGACAAUAUAAGCCCUCUUUAAGUCGGCCCUGGGGCACGUACAUACCGCCCGUCACCCUCCUCACAAGCUACAACUCUACAAUACCUAAUACAACCCCCAGCUGAAGAUGAGGUAAGUCGUAACAAGGUAAGUGUACCGGAAGGUGCACUUAGCAUACC
rnacentral:ncRNA from 1 species